rnacentral:rRNA from 1 species
AGAGUUUGAUCCUGGCUCAGGAUGAACGCUGGCGGCGUGCCUAAUACAUGCAAGUCGAGCGAACGGAUAAGGAGCUUGCUCCUUUGAAGUUAGCGGCGGACGGGUGAGUAACACGUGGGUAACCUACCUAUAAGACUGGAAUAACUUCGGGAAACCGGAGCUAAUGCCGGAUAACAUUUGGAACCGCAUGGUUCUAAAGUAAAAGAUGGUUUUGCUAUCACUUAUAGAUGGACCCGCGCCGUAUUAGCUAGUUGGUAAGGUAACGGCUUACCAAGGCAACGAUACGUAGCCGACCUGAGAGGGUGAUCAGCCACGCUGGAACUGAGACACGGUCCAGACUCCUACGGGAGGCAGCAGUAGGGAAUCUUCCGCAAUGGACGAAAGUCUGACGGAGCAACGCCGCGUGAGUGAUGAAGGUUUUCGGAUCGUAAAACUCUGUUAUUAGGGAAGAACAAAUGUGUAAGUAACUGUGCACAUCUUGACGGUACCUAAUCAGAAAGCCACGGCUAACUACGUGCCAGCAGCCGCGGUAAUACGUAGGUGGCAAGCGUUAUCCGGAAUUAUUGGGCGUAAAGCGCGCGUAGGCGGUUUCUUAAGUCUGAUGUGAAAGCCCACGGCUCAACCGUGGAGGGUCAUUAGAAACUGGGAAACUUGGGUACGGAAGAGGAAAGUGGAAUUCCAUGUGUAGCGGUGAAAUGCGCAGAGAUAUGGAGGAACACCAGUGGCGAAGGCGACUUUCUGGUCUGUAACUGACGCUGAUGUGCGAAAGCGUGGGGAUCAAACAGGAUUAGAUACCCUGGUAGUCCACGCUGUAAAUGAUGAGUGCUAGGUGUCGGGGGUCAAACCUCGGUGCCGCCGUUAACACAUUAAGCACUCCGCCUGGGGAAUACGCACGCAAGUGUAAAACUCAAAGGAAUUGACGG